AUUGCCUCAGUAACGGCGAGUGAAGCGGCAAGAGCUCAAAUUUGAAAGCUGGCUCCUUCGGGGUCCGCAUUGUAAUUUGCAGAGGAUGCUUCGGGUGCGGCCCCUGUCUAAGUGCCCUGGAACGGGCCGUCAGAGAGGGUGAGAAUCCCGUCUGGGAUGGGGUGUCCGCGCCCGUGUGAAGCUCCUUCGACGAGUCGAGUUGUUUGGGAAUGCAGCUCUAAAUGGGUGGUAAAUUUCAUCUAAAGCUAAAUACUGGCCGGAGACCGAUAGCGCACAAGUAGAGUGAUCGAAAGAUGAAAAGCACUUUGAAAAGAGAGUUAAAAAGCACGUGAAAUUGUUGAAAGGGAAGCGCUUGCGACCAGACUCGCCUCCAGGGUUCAGCCGGCAUUCGUGCCGGUGUACUUCCCUGGGGGCGGGCCAGCGUCGGUUUGGGCGGCCGGUCAAAGGCUCCCGGAAUGUAGUGCCCUUCGGGGCACCUUAUAGCCGGGAGUGCAAUGCGGCCAGCCUGGACCGAGGAACGCGCUUCGGCACGGACGCUGGCA
rnacentral:rRNA from 1 species